CCGCAACCAAUUUAAACAUCUCUGUCAGUCCCGACCCUCGUCAAACCACCGCAAUGAAUUGAUGUUUUAAGAUCAUUCUCUCCCACUGCAAAGCCUCUCUGUUUGACUUCCCUGCACAAAAGCCAAAGAAACAGAAAGGACAGGGUGAAUUAGAGAGAACUGACAUCAAGAACAAUGCCAGAACUCUGCUUUGAUUUUGCGUCACUGAUGGUAGCUGUCCAUUACAUUAAAGAAGCCUAAAAGGAGACAUCAG